GACGAACGCUGGCGGCGUGCUUAACACAUGCAAGUCGAACGGAAAGGCCCUGCUUUUGUGGGGUGCUCGAGUGGCGAACGGGUGAGUAACACGUGAGUAACCUGCCCUUGACUUUGGGAUAACUUCAGGAAACUGGGGCUAAUACCGGAUAGGAGCUCCUGCUGCAUGGUGGGGGUUGGAACGUUUCGGCGGUUGGGGAUGGACUCGCGGCUUAUCAGCUUGUUGGUGGGGUAGUGGCUUACCAAGGCUUUGACGGGUAGCCGGCCUGAGAGGGUGACCGGCCACAUUGGGACUGAGAUGCGGCCCAGACGCCUACGGGAGGCAGCAGUGGGGAAUAUUGCACAAUGGGCGGAAGCCUGAUGCAGCAACGCCGCGUGCGGGAUGACGGCCUUCGGGCUGUAAACCGCUUUCGCCUGUGACGAAGCGUGAGUGACGGUAAUGGGUAAAGAAGCACCGGCUAACUACGUG
rnacentral:rRNA from 1 species